CAAAAAUUCUAAAAGAAUGUCCUUCUAUCAACAAAAACUAUUGUUAUCCUAAUUUCUAAAUCAAAAUUUUAAGUUUAUAAUAUUUCUCUACAAAAAUGAUAACUUUACUAAAAUAACCAUUUCAGGAAUAUUUAUUUAAAAAUAGAACCUAUUGAUCAAAAAUUCUAAAAGAAUAUCUAUCUAUCAACAAAAGGUCUUGUUAUCCGAAUUUCUCAAUCACAAUCUCAAAUCUACAAUAUUUCUCUACAAAAAAAUGAUAAUUUUCCUAAAAGAGCAGUUUUUAGAAAACUUAUUUAAAAGAUGAUACAUAUUGCUCAAAAAUUCUAAAAGAAUGAUGACUUUCCCAAAAUAUUUUUCUACAAAAAUGAUGACUUUCCCAAAAUAGCAGUUUCUAUAAAACUUAUUUAAAAAUUGCAACCUAUUGCUAUAAAAUUUUAAAAGAAUGUCCAUCUAUCAACAAAAACUCUUGUUAUCCUAAUUUCUCAAUCACAAUCUCAAAUCUACAAUAUUUCUCUACAAAAAUGGUUACUUUCCCAAAAUAGCAAUUUCAGGAAUAUUUAUUUAAAAAUAGAAUCUAUUGAUCAAAAAUUCUAAAAGAAUGUCUAUCUGUCAACAAAAUCUCUUGUUAUUAUAAUUUCUCAAUCACAAUCACAAAUCUACAAUAUUUCUUUACAAAAGUAAUAACUUUUCUAAAAUAGCAGUUU
rnacentral:lncRNA from 1 species